UUUGUGCAUGUGUUUGUGUAUUUGUGUGUGCAUGCAUAUGUGUGUGCAUGGGUAUAUAGUUCUAUGCA
rnacentral:pre_miRNA from 1 species